rnacentral:tRNA from 1 species
GCGUCCUUAGCUCAGUGGUAAGAGCACUGGUCUUGUAAACCAGGGGUCCAGAGUUCGAAUCUCUGAAGAGGCU